UACGUAGGGUGCAAGCGUCGUCCGGAAUUACUGGGCGUAAAGGGCGCGUAGGCGGCCGAUUAAGUUAGAUGUGAAAGUCCUGGGCUCAACCUGGGGACUGCAUUUAAUACUGGUUGGCUUGAAUUCGGGAGAGGAUAGCGGAAUUCCCAGUGUAGAGGUGAAAUUCGUAGAUACUGGGAAGAACACCGGUGGCGAAGGCGGCUAUCUGGACCGACAUUGACGCUGAGGCGCGAAAGCGUGGGGAGCAAACAGG
rnacentral:rRNA from 1 species